AGAUAAUGUUGAUAAUCCUGCACUCAAAAUAAACAUAUUGUAUGAUGUUGCAUGCAUGUUGGUGAAACACUUACAGAAUUUGGAGGAUCCGAUUGUUGACAUUUUUUAAUAUUCAACUCCAAUUUUUCACUGCUAUGGGCAUGUUGGACGAUGCCAAGUUAAAUUUAGUCCCCGUCGUAAAGAAGGAUUUGGCCUAACUGACGGUGAGAUGUUGGAGAGAUUGUGAGCUUACAUUCGCAAAUUUAGCAGAAUGACUAAAGAAAUGCGUCCAAGUCACAGAAUUGAUGUACUCAUUGAUGCUCUUUUACA